UACGUAGGGUGCAAGCGUUAUUCGGAAUUACUGGGCGUAAAGGGCUCGUAGGCGGCCUAGUAAGUCGGAUGUGAAAUCCCCAGGCUUAACCUGGGAACUGCAUCCGAUACUGGAUGGCUUGAAUCCGGGAGAGGGAUGCGGAAUUCCAGGUGUAGCGGUGAAAUGCGUAGAUAUCUGGAGGAACACCGGUGGCGAAGGCGGCAUCCUGGACCGGCAUUGACGCUGAGGAGCGAAAGCCAGGGGAGCAAACGGG
rnacentral:rRNA from 1 species